UCCUCCUCCUCCUCUUUCCUUCUUCAUCCUCCUCCUCUCUACGUGACUGUCGUGUUCUCUAAUCAAUGGAGGCUCCAACGCCUCUCCUCCUUCUCUUCCUCCUCACAAACACCACCUUCUUCACCACAUCCGUAGCUGACGACGGAAGAGCAAUGCUCACUUUAGCUAAAUCAUUCAAUCCAUUAUCGUCAGAUUGAUCUUCCACCACCGAUUUUUGCAAUUGGUUUGGCGUAUACCAGCAUUCGUGUCUUCCAAAAAUGUAAGUCACCAGCGAUUGCCCACAUUACAAAUCUCUGUUCAACUUCCAAUGAUUUUUUUACAAAAAUCUCUUGAGCUACAAUGGGUGCAUGACAAUGUUGAAGCCGAUAGAAUCAGAGCAUUUGAGAGAAUACAGACAUCUCUGGUUGAAUUGAUUGCUGAUUACUACAAAACAAUCGACACUUUCUCUAACAUUAUCAAAGUUCAGGUACCUGAGAUUUGUUGUUCAUAGGUGUUCAUACAUCUCAGUGGCGUUUAAGUGUACAAAUCGUCGACAACCAAAUCAAUACUC